UCAAACUCCAAAUUCAUGGACCUACAUGCCUAUCCUGACCACCUUGGGGGCUACUGCCCUGGUUCAGAUUGCUAUGGUCUCUCACCCAGCUUACAGCACCCACUUCCUCAUCUGUCUUCCCACCCUCCCACUUGCUGUUCUCACCAGGGAUAGCAAUUGUUUUGCAACUUAGGCCUCGGCCCAGUGGCUCAUGCCUAUAAUCCCAGCACUUUGGGAGGCCAAGGUGGGCAGAUCACCUGAAGUCAGGAGUUUGAGACCACCCUGGCCAACAUGGUGAAACCUCAUCUCUAUUAAAAAUACAAAAAUUAGCUGGGCGUGGUGGUGCUCGCCUGUAGUCCCCGCUACUUGGGAG
rnacentral:lncRNA from 1 species